rnacentral:rRNA from 1 species
CCAAUAGCGUAUAUUAAAGUUGUUGCAGUUAAAAAGCUCGUAGUUGAACUUCGGGGUCUACCCAUUGGUCAGGCUUAAUUGUCUGUACUGGUGAGAUGGAUCUCUACCUUCUGAGGAACUUUCAUGCCAUUUAUUUGGUGUGAUUGGAAAUCAGGACUGUUACUUUGAAAAAAUUAGAGUGUUUAAAGCAGACUAUCGUCUGAAUACAUUAGCAUGGAAUAAUGAAAUAGGACGGACUGAUUCUAUUUCGUUGGUUUCUAGGAUCACCGUAAUGAUUAAUAGGGAUAGUUGGGGGCAUUAGUAUUCAAUUGUCAGAGGUGAAAUUCUUGGAUUUAUUGAAGACUAACUACUGCGAAAGCAUUUGCCAAGGAUGUUUUCAUUAAUCAAGAACGAAAGUUAGGGGAUCGAAGACGAUCAGAUACCGUCGUAGUCUUAACCAUAAACUAUGCCGACUAGGAAUCAGACGAUGUUAAUUUUUUAAUGACUCGUUUGGCACCUUACG